rnacentral:piRNA from 1 species
UGUAAAAUGGAGAUGAUAGCACACAUUUGGCA